AGUUUCUAGCUAACACAUCAACUGAUCGCUCCUAGGCCGUUGCUGAAACUUCAAAUGGCUGUCGGUUUAUUCUGCAACACGCCGGCGGUAGCAGGUGUUUUUCGCUCUGACAAGUCGCUUACCUGUGUUGGCCAGGGUUUCAAGGAAGGCACUCCACAGUAGAGCAAAGUGGGCGAGGAGAUCAAUUUGUUUACCGCAGGAGAGCCGUCGCGAGUGCCAUCGGAUCCGGACUAUGUGCCGAGUAUAUUCACGUACCAGCCGGCGUGCGGAGGCGUUCUUCCUCGACAGCAACGGGCCUCGAGAAGACAAGAUGCUGCCAGUCUUGCAGCAACAGCCCCCAAUGUAGGCGCUGCUGGGGCUGCCACAGCAGUACCCAACAGUGCCGAGUCAGUGCC